rnacentral:rRNA from 1 species
UGGACUUGCUCCCUGAUGUUACGGCGGNGGGUGAGUACACGUGGGUACCUGCCUGUAAGACUGGGAUAACUCCGGGAAACCGGGGCUAAUACCGGAUGCUUGUUUGAACCGCAUGGUUCAAACAUAAAAGGUGGCUUCGGCUACCACUUACAGAUGGACCCGCGGCGCAUUAGCUAGUUGGUGAGGUAAUGGCUCACCAAGGCAACGAUGCGUAGCCGACCUGAGAGGGUGAUCGGCCACACUGGGACUGAGACACGGCCCAGACUCCUACGGGAGGCAGCAGUAGGGAAUCUUCCGCAAUGGACGAAAGUCUGACGGAGCAACGCCGCGUGAGUGAUGAAGGUUUUCGGAUCGUAAAGCUCUGUUGUUAGGGAAGAACAAGUACCGUUCGAAUAGGGCGGUACCUUGACGGUACCUAACCAGAAAGCCACGGCUAACUACGUGCCAGCAGCCGCGGUAAUACGUAGGUGGCAAGCGUUGUCCG